rnacentral:rRNA from 1 species
UACGGGGGGGGCAAGCGUUGUUCGGAAUUACUGGGCGUAAAGGGCUCGUAGGCGGCCAACUAAGUCAGACGUGAAAUCCCUCGGCUUAACCGGGGAACUGCAUCUGAUACUGGAUGGCUUGAGUUCGGGAGAGGGAUGUGGAAUUCCAGGUGUAGCGGUGAAAUGCGUAGAUAUCUGGAGGAACACCGGUGGCGAAGGCGGCAUCCUGGACCGACACUGAACGCUGAGGAGCGAAAAGCCAGGGGAGCAAACGGG